GGCAAAAUUGAGGAAAGAAUAGAUAAAAAAAAAAAGAAAAAGAAAAAUGAAGAGAAAUAAAUAACUAAGAAAGAGAAGAAAUGGUCUUGGUGUUUGUUAAAAUGGCAAUUGGAGGAGAAGCUCCUCCUUUUGUUUGACAAUUGAUAGAUCUCUUUUCUCUUCUUCUCAUAUUUUCUUGUAUCUUUAAAACAAAUUUAAAAUGCCUUUAAAUUAGAUCAACAACCAAAACAACAACGAUCCGAUCAAUCAAUGAAAAACUAACAAAAACCCAUAAUUUAUAUGUGAUUUUGAUGUGAAAUUAUCCUCAUUGUUUGGAAAAUUGCUAAUAAAGCAAGAGAGGAUUGAAUGGUGGUUGAGUAAGAGAAAAGGAGGCGGAGGAGGUGGGUAUCGUUCUAAGUGUAAUGUUUUGCGGGGAAAAGCGAAAGCAAUGGAGUUGCGCCGCCGGUGCCGGAGCCGUCAAUAUUCAAAGAGUCGGUUCUAUUGUUCGCGAUAUUGGAGAUCCUUGCCUUUCCCAGUUUCCCAUCAAGGUACUUAUGAUGCAGGUAAGCAAGAUGCUUAAGCCAGAGAAGUGGCAGGCCACUUUUGAUAACGAAGGGAAGGUUUCUGGUUUUCAGAAAGCACUCAAGUUGAUUAUUUUGGGGGGGAUUGAUCCAUCUAUAAGACCAGAAGUUUGGGAAUUUCUUCUAGGUUGCUAUGCAUUGGGGAGCACUGCAGACGACCGAAGGCAAUUAAGGACAGCCCGGAGGGAACGUUACAAUGACCUCAUAAAGCAAUGCCAGACAAUGCAUUCAAGCAUAGGAACUGGUUCACUUGCCUAUACUGUGGGUUCCAAAGUUAUGGAUAUGAGGACAUCCUCCAAAGAUGGGGGGAAAAGGGAAGCAAAAGUUGAAAGUAGACAAGCUUCCACUGAUGAUACUGAUAAAAGAGAGAAAUAUUCUGAUUUGGGUAAUACCUGUACAGAUAAGUCAUAUGCUGACCAAAGAGAGAGUUCUAGUGAUUCUGCUGAACUUAUCAGUGUGAGGGGAAAUGCUAACACUGCUGCAUAUGACACUUGUUUUAUAUCAACUUCUGGUCCAUGUGGCCGCUGUUCCUCAAAAAUAGGGGGAGACUGUAAUCGGUCAGAAUUCAUAACUGAGUACGAGUUUGAUUUUCCUCCUUUACCAGUUACAGACUUGUUCAAGAAGAGUGAAGAUGAGAAAGAAUUUGAUGCAGAUGAGGAAGAGUAUUCUGCACAAUAUAAAUUGAUGUUUGAGGAUGACAAUAUGCAUAGUUUUCAAAUCAAUAACAAUGCUGAUUUAAUCAUGGAAUCAAAUGUUUCGCCCUCACUAUCUAAAAGUAUCUCACAUCCAUAUAACUGUGAAAUUGAAUUGCUCCAUUGUGAUUCCUAUGAGCCAGUUCUGAGAUCCAAUAAGGUAGGUUAUAAAACAGAAACAGUGAACAGAUUAAGAAUAUCAGAUGUCCCAGAAUCACCAUUGGUAAAUGCAACCAGAUCUCAAGAAGGGACUGCCCAUGAUGAAAGAGUAUCUGAAUGGCUUUGGACUCUGCACCGAAUAGUUGUUGAUGUGGUGAGAACGGAUGGUCAUCUGGAGUUCUAUGAGGAUACUAGAAACUUAGCUAGAAUGUCUGAUAUACUUGCUGUUUAUGCAUGGGUUGAUCCUGCAAUUGGUUAUUGUCAAGGUAUGAGUGACCUGCUAUCUCCUUUUGUUGUUCUCUUUGAGGAUAAUGCGGAUGCAUUUUGGUGCUUUGAGAUGCUAAUUAGGAGAAUGCGUGAAAAUUUUCAGAUGGAGGGACCAACUGGAGUGAUGAAGCAGCUGCAAGCAUUGUGGCAUAUUUUGGAAUUCGCAGACAGGGAAAUGUUUGCACAUCUAUCAAAUAUAGGUGCUGAAAGCCUUCAUUUUGCAUUUCCAAUGCUGCUGGUUCUCUUUCGCCGAGAGUUAUCAUUCAGUGAGGCUCUUUGUAUGUGGGAGAUGAUGUGGGCAGCUGAUUUUGAUGAAUCUGCCACCUGCAAUUUGGAGGAGCUCUGUCUAGAAGCACUGAAUGUACAACUUCCUAUCGAUUCUGGGGCAGAAAUGAGAGAAGAAAACCGAGAAAAUGGAAAUGAUGGUGUAAAGGGUGGCCUACAAUCCAAACAUUCCUUGUCUGAGAAUGGUGGAAUUAAAUCGGCAUCAACUCAUCACUUUUGUGGUUUGACACGGAGUUUUUGGUCUAGAAAUGAUCACCUCCAAAUAUGCAGUGUUGUCUCAUCAACUAGGAUAGGAAAUGAUGAUUUACCAGUCUUUUGUGUGGCUGCUAUUCUUAUCAUGAACCGUCAAAAAAUCAUCAGGCAAACCCGUUCAAUAGAUGACAUAAUAAAGAUUUUCAAUGAUAAGCUUCUGAAAAUCCAUGUCAAAAGAUGCAUAGGUGCUGCAAUCAAACUCAGAAAGAAAUAUUUAUAUAAGCUAAUCAAGAGCAAAGGUCAUUCAACUCGGAAUAGUGAGUAGGUAUGGAGCAUUUUCUGGCAAAAAAGGCAAAAACAUUUUGAGUCAGUAUAUAUUUACUAUCUGGGAUUCCUAGUUUGGACAUUGAAUGAGAGUUUAUGGUGGUUCUUUUAUGAUGGAUUAUAAAGCAGAAGUGCUUUUGCUGUCUGAAGAUUCAUCGUAUUCCUUCACCUCCAUUAUCUUCAAGUCUUUUUCCAAGGUACAAGAAAGACUGGAAAGUGAUAAGAAAUAUUUUCAAGGUUCAUACAGAUGUAAGCAUUUAGCUAUGGUGGGGAACCUGUCCCAGGUUAGGCGAGCAUGAUCUGGCU